UGGGGAAUCUUCCGCAAUGGACGAAAGUCUGACGGAGCAACGCCGCGUGUAUGAUGAAGGUCUUCGGAUUGUAAAGUACUGUCAUUGGGGAAGAACGGUUUCUUGAAAAGAUUGAGAAGACAUGACGGUACCCAAGGAGGAAGCCCCGGCUAACUACGUGCCAGCAGCCGCGGUAAUACGUAGGGGGCAAGCGUUGUCCGGAAUUAUUGGGCGUAAAGGGCGCGUAGGCGGGCCUUUAAGUCCGGUGUGAAAGAUCAGGGCUCAACCCUGAGAGUGCAUCGGAAACUGGAGGCCUUGAGGACAGGGAGAGGAAAGUGGAAUUCCACGUGUAGCGGUGAAAUGCGUAGAUAUGUGGAGGAACACCAGUGGCGAAGGCGACUUUCUGGACUGUAACUGACGCUGAGGCGCGAAAGCGUGGGGAGCAAACAGGAUUAGGAUACCCUGGUAGUCCACGCCGUAAACGAUGAGUGCUAGGUGUAGAGGGUAUCGACCCCUUCUGUGCCGCAGUUAACACAAUAAGCACUCCGCCUGGGGAGUACGGCCGCAAGGUUGAAACUCAAA
rnacentral:rRNA from 1 species